AAACUACAUACGGAUGUAUAUAGACAUAUUUUAGAGUGUAGAUUCACUCAUUUUACUUCGUAUGUAGUCCAUAGUGGAAUCUCUAAGAAGGCAUAUAUUUAGGAACAGAGGGUGUACCAGCUGUACCUUUUCGGAAAAGCUUUUCUUAAGAUGUAAAAUACAAAAAAGCACAUCGUGCUAAUUUAUUUGUAUUUUCUUAGAGCAACCAAUUUAUUGGUAUUUUGUGACUUUCUUUCCUGGAUAGUAAUCAGUUAUACUAUUUCAUACCUGUUAGAAGGUAUAUAUGAGACAGAGUAGAAUCAAAUAUAUAUGGGAUAGACACUAGAAAACUGCAAGGCGUCGUAUGUUGUUUGUUCGAAAAAUCCUUGGAAUGCCUUGACUUUGGCCUCACACACGCCGAGAUGUGAACCUGAUGCCUGAUUAUUAUCGUUCCUUCAUUGUAUGAGAGAUGUUCCUGCACAUGCUCUUUUCUCUAAGAAGGCAUAUUUCCUUGCUUGACGAAGGUUGCAUCUCUACAUGGAAGGUUCAGAGUUGACAGUGUCGACAACUUUGUAUGGUUAAAGGAUAUUCCAAGUAUUUCCACUAUUGCAAGAUAACAACUUUGAUCACUUAUGAUAAGAUGUUUUGGUGUUAAGUUUCUAUUUUUUUAUGGACCAAGAAGAUGAAUUAUUUCGGCAACAUCAAUUGCAUUUGUACUAUCAACAAAAGACUUGUUGCUUGGACAGUUUUACAUUUAGAGGUACACUAUUAUCUCUGCAGUUUAUUGUUACUUCUAAAGCUCAAUAACAUCCAUGCGUAGAUGCAAUGCCAGUCGAUUUAUGGUUGUCAAUGUUAAUAUUUCUCAAUUCAUUUUGCAGCAACGGACCCGCUGUGGUAGUAGUAGUGAGGUGGAUAUAUCUGCAAGGACAUGAGACAUGUAGAACCAUUGAAAUAUUUAUAUCCACUACAUAAAAGGAUGUACACAUAAGCUCGGUAUGUGCUCGGAGAAGGUGCGGUGUUGCGAUGAACAAAAUGUUGUGUCGUGGUGGUGGUCGCCCUCGGCUACGAUGAAGUGUACUCCUUGGAGGAGCGGCCGGUGACGCCGUGGAAGGGAGAGGAGUGGCCGAUGAUGCCGUGGAGAGGAGGGAACACGGAGGUGUGAGAGCAAGGUGCGUGCUAAAUGAUGUGGCAUCGAAGGGAGGCAACAAUGAGAAGCCGUGGUGGGCAGAGCAGCCGCGGAAUGAGUUGUGGGUGUGAGCAUUGUGUUGUGCGAUGAGAGUGAUAAAUAGAUUUUUGUAAGAACAAAAGAAAAGGAGUGGUCGUUUGCCUUCUUAGGGAAAGCAAUUGUUUGCUACGAGAUAAAUGUCACAUACUUUUCUAUAUAGUGAAAAUAUCACAAA